rnacentral:lncRNA from 1 species
GUUAUGUGUCGCUAUGGGUCCCAGUGGGUCUCUCUGGGUCUGGUUAUGGGUCUCUAUGGGUCGCAGUGGGUCUCUAUGGGUCCCUAUGGGUCGCUAUGGGUCCCUAUGGGUCGCUAUGGGUCGCAGUGGGUUGCUAUGGGUCUGGUUAUGGGUCUCUAUGGGUCUCUAUGGGUCGCUAUGGGUCGCUAUGGGUCGCUAUGGGUCCCUAUGGGUCUCUAUGGGUCGCAGUGGGUCUCUAUGGGUCGCAGUGGGGCUGACCAGCGCAGGUCCCUGAGCAGCUCCCAGUGCCGCGCGCUGUGGGGCCGGGCCUGGGGGGCGGAGCUCAGCGCCUCCAAAGUCUCCGCCCACGUCGGGGUGGCCCCGCCCCCCAGGCGAAGCCCCGCCCCCAGCAGCUCCAGCAGC